rnacentral:rRNA from 1 species
GACCCCAGGUCAGACGGGAUUACCCGCUGAGUU